rnacentral:snoRNA from 1 species
CUGAUGGAAGCGAUUGCAGACCAUCAAUUUAUAAACCUGUCAGUGGAGAAUAAAAUGCCCCUGCGCGAGGACCCCGGGGAGAAUGAACCGGGGGGCGAUGCGGGGGCAACAGCCCGGCCUCAGCGAGGUCCCCGCGGGAGGGCCUUCCGCGUCCCGGAGCACGAUGACCGCGGGAAACCCAGGCCGGGCACAGUUCUGGCCCGCCAGGGUUAGCCCGCCCAAGGGUGGCGUACGCCUUCGAUGAGGGCGGGAGUUACCGGCGGGCCAUAUUCUC